rnacentral:lncRNA from 1 species
AUGCAAUGUUUAGUUUUAAAAAUGCCUGAGAGAGGCUUUUUCAUAACCUUUUUCUUUCCUGAAGUCUAUAGAGGAGAUAUAGAUCUUUCUUCUACAAACAGUUGGGAUUUUAGUUACAAUCUGGAAUAUAUGCCAUCUACAGCAGAACUUCUCUUUCUACAUCUGCAAGGGUGGAAUGUACCUCCUGGCUAAUCCGAGAGAGAACAUGAUGCUUUAUUAAAGCUCAAGGUCACAGGCAAGUUAAAAACAAAUGUUUGCUGUGAACAGUUGUCAACUGGACUUGACUGUAUGCAAGGGAAGGUAAAAAAGAACAAGGCAGAUGCACAGCAGCAGAAUCUGCGCUAUCAAGUUAGUCUCGAUUUUUAGCUACCUUAUACUGCAAGAUGGUUAAGCUACUGGCAUUUUGAAAACAUUUCUCUUUUUGGCUACCAUGUAUUCUGAAAUGAAAGUCUGCAACACAGUUUUAAUUUUCUUUUGCUGUGAUAAAACAAAAGGCAUAAAAUUAAAAGUACUACCUUCAGAUUCUAAUGGACUAAAACUGCUCCUCUGUUAUGAUGCCUAUAUUAAUUAUCUGUAGUAAAGAAGAAAUCUUUAUUUGGUUCAUUCAGAAAUAUUACAGAAGCAAAUAAUCAUAUUUUCUUCUUGCAGUCUAUACUGUCAGAGAAAAGGUUUUGGUUCUCUAAUGGCUGACAAGUGUUUGCCUUUAAACUAGAUAUAAAAACAUUCUCCAGAACACUGGAACGUAAAAUUUCCUUAUAAAAGUAAUAUUGUCAGUAUAAAUCAAAUUCUUGUUAAAGUUUAAAGACACGGGAAUAGGGACACUUUUAGAGUGCCCACAUACAACAUUAAAAUUAACGUGGUAAAAUAUAUUUGGUUAUAGCAACAGUAAAUUAAAGUCAUGCCUGUAGCAGCAGCAGCAGAUGCUAUCAACAAGAGGAGGAACAAAUAUUCUCCACUGCUGUUCAAGCAGUGAAUACAUGAACAAGCUAAUUCACAGGAAUAUACUAAAAAGUUUGAGAACCUUUGGAAAAAUGUAUAAAGCUCAAUUCAAUUAUAGUUUAUAUCACAAUCAUUUUGUGUACCUUUAUUGCUAGCACUACCUACUAGUAAUGCAAUAAUAAUAAUAAUAAUAAUAAACAAGGAUAGAUAACUUUAAAAAUCA